rnacentral:rRNA from 1 species
UACGGAGGGUGCAAGCGUUAUCCGGAUUCACUGGGUUUAAAGGGUGCGUAGGCGGGCAGGUAAGUCAGUGGUGAAAUCCUGGAGCUCAACUCCAGAACUGCCAUUGAUACUAUCUGUCUUGAAUAUUGUGGAGGUAAGCGGAAUAUGUCAUGUAGCGGUGAAAUGCUUAGAUAUGACAUAGAACACCCAUUGCGAAGGCAGCUUACUACGCAUAUAUUGACGCUGAGGCACGAAAGCGUGGGGAUCAAACAGG